UGGUGGCUGCCAGGGCAACUGCCUCUGUCAAAAACCCUCCCCAAAGAAGGGUUUUCUUGGGGGGAAACGUCUACUUCACAGCAUUUGAUGGUAUUAACUGUCUUUUUGGGGAGAAAAGUGUCAGUUGCAAUAAUCUGGAGUGGCUGCUGUUGCUGCUGGAGUCUAAUUCUGUUCCCUUUCAUACAAAACAAGACCAACUUGUUCGGAGAGAAAGGUCAAAAGGUAGAAAAUGCAGUUUCUGUCUCUGGUGCUGCACUUGUAGCCUCGCUGCUGGAAAAAGACAAGCCCAGCAUUAUGCUCUGAGCCAGUGGUCCCCAACCUUUUCGUCUGGCGCCUGCCAGACGAAGGACCAUGGCAGCGGUGGAGCAUCCGCCGAAAUGCUGCCGAAUUUCUGCGGCAUUUUGGCGGCAACACCUCUCGAUGACGUCACUUGUCGGUGGCAAGCAGCGUUAUUGAGGGGCGUCACCACCGAAAUGCCGCAGAAAUUCAGCAGCAUUUCUGCGGAUGCUCCACCACCGGCCAGGACACAGGCGCAUUUAGAUGCCCCCGUGGGCACCACAUUGGGGACCCCUGCUCUGAGCCAUUUGAUAGGAGACAUACUGUUACCAGACAGUUUAAGGCAUUGCUUUCAGUUUCUUAUCCGGUCAUGCUCACAGCUUUGUGGAGUGAAGUUUUUCUUGAUGAAUCAUCCAGAUUCUAGAUCAUAUUUUCACCUCUUACCUCACAGAGCUGAGAAGCAUCCAGAUUCUUGCUACACAGAAGACAGAAAGUGAAGUGAAGUGAAGAGAGAGUGCAAGGUGACACACCCUCACAUCUCAAGUAUUGGUCAGGAUUUAGCCCAGGGGUCCUCAAACUGUGGGUCGGGACCCCUCAGGAGGUCAUGAGGUCAUUACAUGAGGGGUCAUGAGCUGUCAACCUCCACCCCAAACCCUGCUUGCCUCCAGUAUUUAUAAUGGUGUUAAAUAUAUUAAAAAGUGUGUUUAAUUUAUUAGGCAAGUCAUGCUCACAAGCUUGCUAUAUGAAAGGGGUCACCAGUACAAAAGUUUGAGAUCCACUGAUUUAGCCAGAGCCAGUGGCGGUGGCAAUGUCAUGAUCCUACUCUCUGGCAUGGUCUGGUCAGGGCACCUUUCAAGGUCAAGACAACAAAGGCCCAAUGGUCUCAAGGUGGAUCCCAGGGACCUAAGGUGAAGGUGGACAUAGGGGAGUAGCCACAGUGCUGAAGCUUGCUCCUUCCAGCCCACAUCUUCGGCUGCUCGACCCCAAACAACAUCCAGAAAGAGGGUGGCAGCCUCAUCCCAGGAACACGAUCCAAUCAAAACAAAUCUGGGUCUGAUUAUAACUGAACAUUUCCUCUCAUUUCUAGAACCUUCCAUCUCACCAUCCUGCCAACCCAAGCUGCCUUCGAUUCCAAGGCCAGGCGGGACCAUUUGUGACACAGGCCCGAGAACUGCCCCAAAAUCAUUCCCAGAGCAGAUCUUUUAGAAAAAAAAUAUCCAGUCCUGAUUUGAAAAUUGACAGUGAUGGAGAAUUCACCAUGACCCUUGUAAAUUGUUCUGGUGACUAAUUAUCCUCACUGUUAAAAAUUUAAACCUCUUCUCAUGGCUCCUUUCCCCAGAACAAUCUGAGUUCAUGCCAGUCUUUCUUCAUCUUCUGCUGGCUUUUAUGAACAAUACGAAAACCUAGCUGGUCUUCCGUUACUCCUUUGACAUGAGUUUCCUGUACCAUUGGGUGGGGGUUGGGGUGUGUGCUGGCUAAUUGGAGUGAGUGCUUCUUGUGAACAGACAUCUGAGUUUUCUGAAGUACAGCUGUUAGCUCUCUCUGAAAGUCAUGAGAAUCAGCCCUACUUAGGGAGAUCAGGGAAGGGAUUUUUGUUAAGGCAGCUGCGUUCUUUAACCCAGGGCACAUUUUUCUGAUCAAUCAAAUAACAGAACCAGGCUCAGCUUGGUGGACUGGAAAUUCACUUCACUUUGGAAAUUCACUGUACUACCAACUCCCUAGUGUUCAAAAACCCAAGGUUAAUCAUGAGGUGUUUUAAAGAUAAUAAUGAAUUUUGGGUUCUUUCUAAUUGCCGUUGGGUUUUAAAGCUUUCAGAUGCCCUCAAGCUUUUCACCAUAGCCACAAGGACUAGAAAUGUAUUUAUAAAAAAAGAAAAAGCUAAUAAUAAUAUGUAGCUCUUGUAGAGCACAUUUCCUCAGUAGAUCUCAAAGCACUUUACAAAGGAAGGAAGUAUAAUUAUCCCCAUUUUACAGGUAGGGAAACUGAGGCACAGGGCAGGGACAUGACUUGCCCAAGGUCACCCAGCAGGCUAAUGGCAGAGUUUGGGGUAGAACCCAGUCCAGUGCUUUACUCCAUGACUCCAACACCUGGGGCUUUAAUAAAAACACCAGCUAUUGUGAGAUUUAUGAUCAAAUUGCAAUAGCUGGCAACUUCUCCAAAGUGAAAGAUGAAUGCAGCAAGUUUCAUUCAGAAGAGAAUGGAUACAUUUAACACCUUAUCUGUUCCUCUGAUAUGGAUGAGCGACUAAGAAAGAGCCCUGAAUAAAUCAACCAAUUAGCAAUUCUCCUUCUGAAGUAUAACACACAAAACAGAUCCAAAUCCACUCAGCAGAUGUCACUUAGGCUACUUCUAGAAUCCGCCGUAUUGGCGAGUUAAAAUCAAUUGCUCGGGGAUCGAUAUAUCGCGUCUCAUCUAGACGCGAUAUAUCGAUCCCCAAGCGCGCUUAUAUCGAUUCCGGAACUCCACCAACCCCAACGGAAUUGCGGAAUCGACAGGGGGAAUCACGGACAUCGAUCCCGCGCUGUGAGGAUGGUGAGUAAUCCGAUCUUAGAUAUUCAACUUCAGCUACGUCAUUCACGUAGCUGAAGUUGCAUAUCUAAGAUCGAUUUCCCCCCGUAGUGUAGACCAGCCCUUAGUUCUGAUGCCUCAUUUCUGGCAUUGUCCCCAUCCAACACAGCUUCCUGCAUAACCCAGGCCAGAGAUUCUCAUCCACUAAUUUCUGCAUCUAGUCCAAUAUUUUCUAUUUGACCUAAAAGACAUUCAGUCUUGCUGACGGACUCCAUGUUUAUUCAGAGAACCACCCUGUUCACAGCAAAUGUUUCAAUGUUUCCAUGCCCCUCCCUGUUGAACCUUUCUAGUCUGAAUUUUUCUCACAUCCGUUCCCAGCCAUUGGCUCGCUUUCUGCUUUUGUCUGCUGGAUCUUAACAGAGCUGUCUAUGUUGACUGUGAUCAAAUGACCUCUUAGUCUUCUCUUGCAGUAUUUGGCAUUUUUCUUAAAGCUCUCGGAGUCCUGUGAUUCUGCUGGACAAAUUUCUCAGCUUUCAUUAAAGAAAAAAGCACGUUUUUACCCUUCAUGGUCGCAAAGAAAAGCUUGAAAACCUGCAUCCUAAAGACGCCAUCACCAGAAGGCAAAUAAACACAAUCCCACAGUU